AAUCAACGCUGGCGGCGUGCCUAACACAUGCAAGUCGAACGCGAAAGGGGCUUCGGUCCUGAGUAGAGUGGCGAACGGGUGAGUAACACGUGGGUGAUCUACCUUCGAGUGGGGGAUAACGUCCCGAAAGGGACGCUAAUACCGCAUGACGUUCUGGGUUUAAAGACCUGGAAACCAAAGCCUGGGACCGCAAGGCCUGGCGCUAGGAGAGGAGCCCGCGUCGGAUUGGCUAGUUGGCGGGGUAAUGGCCCACCAAGGCGACGAUCGGUAGCCGACCUGAGAGGGUGGACGGCCACACUGGGACUGAGACACGGUCCAGACUCCUACGGGAGGCAGCAGUAGGGAAUUUUCCACAAUGGACGAAAGUCUGAUGGAACAACGCCGCGUGAACGAUGAAGGUCUUCGGAUUGUAAAGUUCUGUUGUUAGGGACGAAUAAGUACCGUUCGAAUAGGGCGGUACCUUGACGGUACCUGACGAGAAAGCCACGGCUAACUACGUGCCAGCAGCCGCAGUAACAC
rnacentral:rRNA from 1 species